rnacentral:lncRNA from 1 species
ACCUAUUUAGUGAAAUACCAGAUCUAGCUUGGACAAAAUAAAUAGAUAAUGUCAUGACAUGCAGAACAUGGACCUAAGGAGCAAGCAAUACCUUAAAAGCAGUUUCUCAUAGUACAAUCGGACGACACUUUCGCAUAGUAUAAUGUGAUUUUCAACCUCUAAUUUGAGAAUUAUUUCCUGCUCUACGCAUGAAGAUGUAU